AUAGUUACCCAGUUCGCGGGUCGACCUAGGGAACCGUGAACUGGUACGGUCGUUCCGGAACGCGGGUCGAAGUCGACCCGGAACACUCGGGAUGGCGUUCCAGUUCGCCAUUUCCGGCGAACUCUGAUCACUUACCGGCGACUAUAAAACGAGGAUGAAAUUAAGAAGAAAGAGGCGAGUAGUGGUGUUUUACCUGACCUGUGAUAUGUAUAUAUGUGGAUAUAUGUAUACAUGACUGUUUGCAGCUGAAGGUGAUGUGUGGUUUGUGGAGAAGAUGAAGCGGGGGAGAAGACAACACAGAUACCAAUGUGAUAACUCAUGAAAGUUAUGGUAGAUCGUGCUGGAUAAUAAUAAUAUAUGUAUAAGUUUUGUGUGUGUCUAUUUAAUGUGUAACCCCUGCAUUCAUUUCUAGACCCACCUAAUGCAUUUGCUGCUUGGACAAGAGCCCACGUUGGAAAGUUUCAGCACUCUCUCCGUUAUUUUUUGACGCUUUGUUUUUUUUUAAUUUUAUAAAUAAAAAUAUGUGCUGAAAAUUUAAUUGAUAAAAAAAUGAUGAAUAAAUAUAAUAAUUUUUACCAUCCAGUCAACCCGUUUAAAGACCAAAAGGGAUAAAAAAUUAUUUUAUUAUGCACCUCGUUUCACAUAAGAAACAAUUCUUAUUAUUUUUUAUUUAUUACUCUAGACUACCCCUUUUAAUAUGAAUUUUGCCAAAAUAAGAUUUUUAUAUUUUUUUAAUAUAAAAAUUACGGGAUCCUUAAUUCGACCCGCGAACCCGAUUCACGGCUCCUCGUACCCGAUUCAUCCAUACUCACGUCCCGCGUACCCGAAUUCAUACCGCGUACCGAAUCGAUCCACGAUCCAUGUAACUAUGGUUCUACGAGCCAUCCGUAGUUACUGGAUUAAAAAGCGAAAACAGAAGCGUUCCGCCCUGGUCAAGAUUUUCCAGGUACUAUCUUUUUGUGACCCAUAAUUAAUAGGUGUUAUUAAUUCAUCAGGUUUUACAGUAUUUGACAUAUGCACUAAUUAUUCAUGAUUAUGAUUUAUCAUUUCUGAUAGUUGUAUCAAUCAAGAACUCGAGUUUUAAGAAAGGCGGAUCAUGGCAAGAAAAGAUCAUUGACUCGAAAAGCUAGAGAAGAUGUAAUUAGGGAGAAGCGAGCAACUGUCCUUCAAGGUAUAUACUGUUGCAUCAAGAAUGUCAUCCUUAUCUUGUUUAAUACACCAUUUCACUAGUCAUUCUAGUUCAAGAGUACCUAAGGUUGGAAGUGUACAUUCCUCUAAGUAGCCACUUAAGUUUCUAAAUAAAUUCCUGGCUUGAACUACAGGCAUUGCAGCUGAACAUAAGAAAAACGAAAAAAAGGUUUCCCUAGAGGCUGAUGCUGCACUUACUAAAUUAGAUGAUUUAGACCUUGGAAAGGGUAAAAGAGCCCAACUGCUGAUGGAGGUUGCAGAUAAGUGUACUUACAAAGCCACUAUGGCUCUUAGAGUUUUUGAAGCAAUUGGACAGGGAAAAUCACUCGUAGAUAUUGCCAAAAAUCUUAUCGACUGACCUAGCUAACUGCAGUUUAGUUGCUUUAUUUCUGCCCAGGACAAACAGUUUCUCUCCCAUUUAUUUUGGGAAGAUUGAAGCCUCUUUUUUGAAAUCUUGCAUAUCCCUUGUUGCAAUACAUGCAAGAAUUUGUAAUAUUCUCAAUAAUUUUUUAAUCUACCACAUCUCUUGAUUAUAAUUUAUUAUUUAUUUCACUGUAGAUAUAGGUAAAUAAAAUUUUUUAACAGGAACAAAAACAUUUAAAUGAAUAAUUUUAACAUUCUCUCUUUAAAUGGACUAUAUGAUUUGUUUACUUAUAUUUAGUGAUAUAUAGUUAUUAUUUCUUACUAGUUUAUUUUUGUAGUUGACACUUAAGUGACUGUUUUAUAAAAUGACAUUAUACAUGUGGUUCAUACCAAUAUUAACAAUUAAGUAAUUAAUAUUAUACAUUCUCAAAAAAAAAAGUAAUUAAUAUUAUAAUGAUAUCACGUCUUAAUUUGAUUGGUUUUAAAUGAAACUUCUAACCAUUUUUAAAUUUUCGAUUUAUUAUGUCAAAUUACAUAUAUUAUAUUCAACGAUUUUUUUAAAAAAUUUGUAGAAAAUUUAUUUGCAGGCACCAUAGAAAUUUAAAAAGUUAAUGAGACAAAAAUUGGAAAGAGAGUAUUCUCGAUUAUGCACAUAGAACACUAUAUUAAAAUUUUAGUUAUUGAAUAAUUUAGAAAAAUACUUUAUUGAAAUCAAUUUUUUAAUUAAAUUUUCUAAAUUUAAUUUUAAUAUUUGAUAAGCAUAAAAUUUCAUUGGUUAUACUGUAUGAGUCAACAUUUAACUUUAUGCUCAAGAUAUGUAUUUAAAGUUCAUUCUUAAGUAAAAUAGUAUCAAAAAUAUAAUAUAAAUACUCAGAUACACUAUAUAUAUCCUAAUAAAACUACUUAUCAUCACCCUAUUAAAAUAUAUAUGAACUCAAUUGAGAUGUUAAUAUAUUCAAAAAUAUCUGUAAAAGAAUAAUCUCGGACCAACAAUUUUUCUUAAAUUAUCGAGGAUUAGUAUACACUAUGUUUUGUUGGAUUCACACAACUAAUUUUAAAUGAUAAAUAUAAUAAUUUAUCAUAUUAUUAAUUAUUAAUUUUUAAUAUUUCGAUGUUUUACAAAAUAUCUGAUAAUAAAUAAAUGAUAUCAACAAUUUUUAUUUGGAAAUUAUUCUUUUAAUAUAUUAAAGGAUAUAUCCAUCAAACCAUAGAAAAUAAGGAAACACCCAAUAUUAUUUAAAAAUAAAAAAAUAAAAUAAAAUAUAUUUAAUCUUUACUAGUCAUGUAUAUUAAUUUAUGAUUCGUGAGAUUAUUGAGAAUAUCUCACGAUACUAAUAAUCUUAAGACAUAUAGAAUAAUCCGGAACAUACUAGAACUUUAAUUUCAAUUCAAAAUUAUGAGAACAUUCCGGAACUUGCAAGAACUUUGUUUGUAUAUUAAUCCAACGGCUGAGAUGAGAAUAUGAAAAUUAUAUAUGCAAGCUUUCUUCUUCAAAUUGUUCGUUGUCCCAACCACAAAUAAUUGAAUACCAUAAUAAACCCAAUUCUCAUCUGAGAACCCAUCCACAAACUCUCAUUAGCAAUAUCAUAUACGAUUUUCAAUGAUUCAAACUUUUUCUAUUUGUAAAUUUUACUUUCACCAAAUCCUAGCACUAAUUCUUAUCAUUUAGGUGUGGAUCAGGUAUGCAUUUGUGAAUUUAUUUAUGUUUUAUCGUUCAAUUAAAGAUUAAAAAUUAUAGUAACAAUCAAGCCCACAAGUAUAUGUUAUAGUUUUCAUUUUAAUUUUUUAAUUAUUUUUUGGUUGUAAGAACUUGUUGGUAAAAUUAUAAACUAGAUUUUAUAUUUUCUUAUGUUUAACUAAUGUGAUCUUUUUGCAAGGCAGGUGUUUGUUCCCUCACUCCUUAAACAAUGAAGAUUAUGCUCCAAGUAUGGUGAUGCCCUUAUUUUUAAUCCUUUUAUAAAUUUUAUCGGUCUUCUUAGUAUCAUGACUUGUCUGCAGUGUUUAUGUUUACUUUUAACUUGUGCAUAAGUUAAAUUCUUUCAUUUUUUAUUAUUGGGAUGGUAGGUUAUGGCCUUUGAAGUUUAUAAGUGCAAUUCAAUGGAGUUUGAUGAGCCAAUUAAAUUCUGAAAACACCCAUCAACCUCAACUAUAAAUGAGGCCUCCCUACAUCUCUUAAGGGAUAUAGGAGGGCAUUCUCUCAUAUUUGGGAAGAGCAGUGGACUCCGAAAGAAAGGUUCAUACAAGCUGGCGAAAAUAAUUGCAAGCUUCUUUGUCUAAUAUGUGAUCAAUAAUUUCAACCUUAGUAGAAAUUUUUAUAAAGACACGUUGUAAGAGUUUCAAACAUUAUAAAUAUGUAUUUUACUUGAUGUAAGAGUUUCAAGUUUAUAUACGCAUUUUACCCACAUAAUUCUACUCGUGAUGAGAGAAAACUUACAUAUAUUUAUGUUCAUGGCUUCUAUGCUGUCAAAGUGAAUGGAGAGGGCAUUUUUCAAGAAAAAUCAAAACAGGUUAACAAGUAAAACUCUAAAUACAAUAUAUAGAGGAAAAUAUAAGGUCAAUGAAUUCAAGGUAAAAUGAAUGAGGAUUAUUACAUUUGUAUGUCUCUCCUAUACUUAAAUUAUAGUGCAAAAAUAUUUGUAAAUAUAAUUAUAAUAAAUUUAUAUUGUCUAUUUUAAUUUAUUCCCAAAAUCACACUUUAUCCUUCUAAUUAUAAUUCAUCAUUAUUAGAAUGUCAAUAAUAUUUUUAGAAUCACAUAAAGAAUUAUGAAAAAUUCAAGUAAAAUUCUUACAAAUUAUAAAACGUAGACAGAAGCCGAUUUUCUUUUUAUCUUUCAUUCAAAGUUCAAGCUUUAAAAUCAAAUUAGAUUUGUAGUAAAUAUUAAAAAUAUAUCUAAAAGAGGGUGCAUCCAAAUGACUCCUUCAAAUGUAUCCAAUUCAUAUUUUGGAUGUCUUUUUCACAUUACUUGUACCAACUAUAUUGUUUAUCUAAUCAAAACAAGUUAUUUUUGACCAGAUGGCUAAAAUCCACCUUAUGACUGACGGCCGAUUUCAACUAAAUUUGACCAAAUGCAGUCAAAUUUAACUAAAUUUGAUCGGAAAUGGCGGUAAAAUUUACCAGUUUAAUUUUUUUUAUUUUAAAUAAUAUAAAACAUCAAAUGAUAAUAUUUUAAUUAACAUAUCCAUUUUUAAAUUUAUAAUGAACAUAACUUUGGAGACUUUGGCCUAAAUGAGCCAAGAACCGCCUAACAAAGUAACAUGCUCAUCAACAAUUUCAACAGUCUAUUGAUGAAUGGAGCAUAGUGAAGAAGGUGCUUUAAAGUAUCAACACAAGAAUUGGUCUCCAUCCGAAAUAGACAAUUUAUCAAAGAAAAAGGUGCACCAAAUAAAUUUAAGGAAGAUAACAAGAAAUCAAUAUACCUUCCAUGCUCUAUCUGAAAAAGAGCAAAUCAUCUUAAAAAGGAUUGCUUGCACAAAAGAAAGCAUUAGUGCAAAGUUUGUAAAAAAGUUUGGACCUAGUGAACAAAUUUGCAGAUUUAGAAAAAGCCACGAGGAGUGAUUGAAGAAAAUGAUUAACAUUUUUAUGCCUAUCAUGCAACUAGAACAAAAUAGAAAAAUGGUUGGUGCACAUAAUUGUAUACAAAAUUGUGUACAUAAUGACAUGUGCCGGGCUUUAAUUGGAAUGUACACAAUUAUGUGCACCUAGCACUACUCAACAAAAUAUGAUGAUACAUGGCUCAUUAAUAAUAGAUGAACAACACACACGACAAAAAUUUAAAGUCUAUUUUAUAAUGUGGAUUCUACAAUAAAUAUAUCAAUCAAUUAAUAUACCAACUUCGAAUAUAAAGAAAGAGUAUCAUUGUUAUUUAAUUUAAGAAAGGUACGUGUUAUGGAUAAAAACAAAGGACAAGCUUAGUGCUUUAAUGACUGCUUAAUGUGAAGGGUCAAAGGAGAUGAAAAAGAACAGAAGACCUCAUGUUCUAGUUCAGGAGUACGAAUAUUUGAAAUUGCAAAACCAAAACAGAUAUUAACUGAUAUUUGUGAAAAGUCUUGGAACCUAGUGAGUUAGUGCACUUCAACAAAAUUAAUGGUGUUUGAAAACUACAAUCAUAACUCAUAUUCAAGUGUCUCUUGAUGAAGUAUAUACCAUAAUGAUGACUAAUGAUUUGGAGAUGAAAAAAAAAGAGAAAAAGGGUUAGAUAAGAUUUUGUAUGUUUCUUUGAAUGCCAAACAAAGUAAGCAAUUAGAAAAUAUAACUAUAAUUAUAUGCAAGGGAAAGUUGUUCAAACUCUCACUCAUGUUUUAUAAUUUAGUGAGCCCUUAGCUAGAGAGUAGGAGUAGAGGUGGAUCAUAUUAUCAUAACUAAUAUAAAGUAUUAUAUUGAAUUUAUAUUUAGGAUAUAAUUAUGAGCUAGAUAAUUAUAAUUAUGUUUAAUUUUUUUUAAACUUUUUAAAUUUGUAUAAAAUGAUUAUAUAUUUAGAAACAUAUGUGUUAUCAUUUUAACUAAAAUAUAUAUACAAUGAUAUUUAAUUUAAAAUUAAUAUAUAUGGGCUCUCAAAGUAGAUCUUUUACUUUUAAGCAACUGAUCAUAAUAAAAUUGGUUUUUAAUUUAUCCAUGAUUAGGCCUAGCCCAAUCCUAAAAACCCUACAAAUUUUACUAUAUAUACGUCUUAUCCUAAUUAUUCAAUUUGCCCCCUACUUCAUCAUUUCAAUUUUUGCCGCCUAUCUCAUCAUUUUAAUAUCUGCCUCCUACCUCAUCAUUUUAAAACCCCCAAAAGAUACUCACACAUUGUGAGAAAAGCAUCUGACAAUUAACGAGUGUUAAUUCUAGUGGCACCUUUAGACUGAGAGCUACUUCAUCGUUCAUUGUGAGAAAGACAGUUGUCAGUCUUCAGUACAGUGAUGUCUCUCAUUGGACUUCCUAAUUUGUUUGGGGUGAAAUCUCACCUGGAAAAUCCUAUGGUGAGUGCCAUUCCUGUCCCUGCUGCAGUUAAAGUAUCUAGCCAUGCUGACAUCGAUUAUGUCCCGUUCAGGAGACCAGAGUCUUACAUCACGUGCAAAGAUGAUGAGCUGACUAGAGUGUUGGGGAGGGAAAGUUCAGUUUAUGAAAUGGAUUGUGAGGAUGAGGAAUGGUUAAACAAAUUUUAAGACAGAAAAAGGAUGUGAGGAGCCCAUUUCUGCUGAUUUUUUUGAGAUGAUUAUUAGUUCAUUCGAGAAGAGAUUAUUCUGUGAUCAAGGUAAUCGUGCGGAUGUAAAGGCUGCCGUUGACCAUUGCAUAUCUCUGGGAAGAAGAGAUGUUCUACGAACCAUCUAUAGUUACUGGAUUAAGAAACGAAAACAGAAGCGUUCGGCCCUGGUCAAGGUUUUCCUGCAGGUACUAUAUCUUUUUGUGACCCAUAAAUAUGUGUUAUUCAUCAGGUUUUACAGUAUUUGACAUGCACUAAUUAUUCAUGAUUAUGAUUGAUCAUUUCUGAUAGUUGUAUCAAUCAAGAACUCGAGUUUUAAGAAAGGCGGAUCAUGGCAAGAAAAGAUCAUUGACUCGAGAAGCUAGAGAAAAUGUAAUUAGGGAGAAGCGAGCAACUGUCCUUCAAGGUAUAUACUGUUGCACCAAGAAUGUCAUCCUUAUCUUGUUUAAUACAUCAUUUCAGUCAUUCUUAUUCAAGAGUACCAGGAAGAUGAAUAUGUACUAUUAUAUAAGUAUACAUUCCUCUAAGUAGCCACUUAAGUUUUUAAAUAAAUUCCUGGCUUGAACUACAUGCAUUGCAGCUGAAGAGAAGAAAAAAGAAUUGAAGGUUGCCUUAGAGGCUGGUGCUGCACUUACUAGAUUAGAGGAUGUAGCCCUUGGAAAGCGUAAAAGAGCCCAAAUGCUGAUGGAGGUUGCAGAUAAGUGUACUUACAAAGCCACUAUGGCUCUUAGAAUUUCUAAAGCAAUUGCACAAGGAAAAUCACUUGUAGAUGUUGCCAAUCAAACUAGAUUUGUAGUAAAUACUUAAAAUAUAUCUUAAAGAAGGUGUAUCCAAAUGAAUCCUUCAAAUGUAUCCAAUUCUUAUUUCUGGAUGUCUUUUUCUCACAUUACUUGUACCAACUAUAUUGUUUAUCUAAUCAAAACAAGUUAUUAUUUGACCGAAGAUGGCUAAAGUCCACUAAGCUAUGAUUGAUCGCCGAUUCCGGUCAAAAUUAACUAUAUUUGACCGAACGUGGACUACAAAAUGUAGGGCAAAACCGACCGCCUAAAACCAACUGGCGCGAAAAAAGUGUCGGGUUAAAACAGAUCGGCCGAAGUCCGUCGGUUUUGAUAAUAACUACGUCGUUUUGCUUUGCUGGCUAGACUCCGACUUAUUUUAACCGACCACUUUCAUCGCGAUCGGUUUUAUAGCUGACGUGUCCGGGUCAUAACUGACCAGGUCAUCGGUCGGUUAUGUUUUUGUGUAAAUUUAAUCAAUUUUUUAAAAAAUUAUUAGACAAGACGACAGCGUUUUUGUGCGUAAAUUUGACCGGAAAUUGCGGUCAAAUUUACCCAUUUUUCUAGUAGUGUCAAUUUAAUUGUUUUUUAUUUUAAAUAAUAUGAAACAUCAAAUAAUAAUAUUUUAAUUAACAUAUCCACUUUUAAAUUUAUAAUGAACAUAACUUUAGAGACUUUGGCCUAAAUGAGCUAAGAACCCCCUAACAAAGUAACAUGCUCAACAAUGUCAACAGUCUAUCAAUGAAUGGAGCAUAGUGAAGAAGGUGCUUUAAAGUAUCAACACAAGAAUUGGUCCCCAUCCGAAAUAGACAAUUUAUCAAAGAAAAAGGUGCAUCGGAUGAUUUUAAGGAAGAUAACAAGAAAUCAAUAUACCUUCCAUACUCUAUCUGAAAAAGAGCAAAUAAUUAGUGCAAAGUUUGUAAAAAAGUUUGGACCUAGUGAACAAAUUUGUGGAUUUAUUGAAGAAAAUGAUUAACAUUUUUAUGUCUAUCAUGCUGCUAGAACAAAAUAUGAUGAUACAUGGCUCAAUAAUAAUGGGUGAACAACACACAUGACUAAAACUUAAAGUCUAUUAUAAUGUGGAUUUUACAAUAAAUUUAUCAAUCAAUUAAUAUACCAACGCAUAGUGAUGACAGAACCUUGUCGAAUAUAAAGAAAGAUUAUCAUUGAUAUUUCACAACUUUCCCUUACAUAUAAUUAUAAUUAUAUGUAAAGGAAAGUUGUUAAAACUCUCAAGGAGGGCCUGUUUUAUAAUUUAGUGAGCCCUUAAAGAGUAGGAGUAGACGUGGAUCAUAUGACAUAAAAAAUUUAAAAGCUAAAUAAAUAUUAUCAUAAUUAACUAAUAUAAAGUAUUAUGUAGUAUUGAAUUUAUAUUUAGGAUAUAAUUAUGAGCUAGCUAAUUAUAAUCAUGUUUAAUUUUAUUUAAAACUUUUUAAAUUUGUAUAAAAUGAUCAUAUAUUUAGACACAUAUGUGUUAUCAUUUUAACUAAAAUAUAUAUACUAUGAUAUUUAAUUUAAAAUUAAUAUAUUUGGGCUCCCAAAUUAGAUCUUUUACGGUUAAGCAACUGAUCAUAAUAAAAUUGGUUUUUUAAUAUAUCCAUGAUUAGGCCCAGCCCAAUUCUAAAAACCCUACAAAUUUUACUAUAUAUACUACUUAUCCUAAUUAUUCAAUUUGCCCCCUACCUCAUCAUUUCAGUUUUUGCCGCCUAUCUCAUCUUUUUAAUAUCUGCCGCCUACCUCAUCAUAUUAAAACCCCCAAAAGAUACUCACACAUUGUGAGAAAAUCAGCUAACAAUUAACGAGUGUUAAUUCUAGUGGUACCAUUAGACUGAGAGGUACUUCAUAGUUCAUUGUGAGAAAGGCAGUUGUCAGUCUUCAUCAGUAUACAGUGAUGUCUCUCAUUGGACUAUGGUGAGUGCCAUUCCAGUCCCGGCUGCAGUUAAAGUAUCUAGCCAUGCUGACAUCGAUUAUGCCCCGUUCAGGAGACCAGAGUCUUACAUCAUGUGGAAAGAUGAUGAACUGACUAGAGUGCUGGGGAGGGAAAGUGCAAUUUAUGAAAUGGAUUGUGAGGAUGAGGAAUGGUUGAAGAAAUUUAAUACAGAAAAAGGAAGUGAUGAGCCCAUCUCUGCUGAUUUUUUUGAGAUGAUUAUUAGUUCAUUCGAGAAGAGAUUAUUCUGUGAUCAAGGUAAUCGUCUGGAUUUUAAGGCUGCUGUUGACCAUUGUAUAUCUCUCGGAAGAAGAGAUGUUCUACGAGCCAUCCAUAGUUACUGGAUUAAAAAGCGAAAACAGAAGCGUUCCGCCCUGGUCAAGGUUUUCCAGGUAAUAUCUUUUUGUGACCUAUAAAUAUGUUUUUUUUGACAUGGUUAUUCAUGAUUAUUAAUUUUAUGAUUCUUCAUGAUGGAUCAUUUCUGAUAGGUCUAUCAAUCAAGAACUCGAGUUUUAAGAAAGGCAAAUCAUGGCAAGAAAAGAUCAUUGACUCGAAAAGAUAGAGAAAAUGAAAUUAGGGACAUGCGAGCAACUCUCCUUCAAGGUAUAUACUGUUGCCCCAGGAAUGUCAUCCUUAUCUUGUUUAAUAAAUCAUUUCAGUCAUUCUUAUUCAAGAGUACCAGGAAGAUGAAUAUGUACUAUUAUAUAAGUAUACAUUCCUCUAAGCAGUCCCUUUAUAAGUUUUUAAAUGAAUUUCUGGUUUGAACAACAGGCAUUGCAGCUGAACAGAAGAAAAACGAAAAAAAGGUUGCCCUAGAGGCUGAUGCUGCACUUACUAAAUUAGAUGAUUUAGUCCUUGGAAAGCGUAAAAAAGCCCAACUGCUGAUGGAGGUUGCAGAUAAGUGUACUUACAAAGCAACUAUGGCUCUUAGAAUUUCUGAAGCAAUUGGGCAAGGAAAACCACUGGUAGAUGUUGCCAAAAAUCUUCUCGGCUGACCUAGCUAACUGCAGUUUAGUUGCUUUAUUUCUGCCCAGGACAAACAGUUUCUCUCCCAUUUAUUUUGGGAAGAUUGAAGCCUCUUUUUUGAAGUCUUCCAUAUCUCUUGUUGCAAUAUAUGCAAGAAUUUGUAAUAUAUACAAUAAUUUUUUAAUCUACCACAUCUCUUGAUUAUAAUUUAUUAUUUAUUUCACUGUAGAUAUAGGUAAAUAAAAUUUUUUAACAGGAACAAAAACAUUUAAAUGAAUAAUUUUAACAUUCUCUCUUUAAAUGGACUAUAUGAUUUGUUUACUUAUAUUUAGUGAUAUAUAGUUAUUAUUUCUUACUAGUUUAUUUUUGUAGUUGACACUUAAGUGACUGUUUUAUAAAAUGACAUUAUACAUGGUUCAUACCAAUAUUAACAAUUAAGUAAUUAAUAUUAUAAUGAUAUCACGUCUUAAUUUGAUUGGUUUUAAAUGAAACUUCUAACCAUUUUUAAAUUUUCGAUUUAUUAUGUCAAAUUACAUAUAUUAUAUUCAACGAUUUUUUUAAAAAAUUUGUAGAAAAUUUAUUUUCAGGCACCAUAGAAAUUUAAAAAGUUAAUGAGACAAAAAUUGGAAAGAGAGUAUUCUCGAUUAUGCACAUAGAACACUAUAUUAAAAUUUUAGUUAUUGAAUAAUUUAGAAAAAUACUUUAUUGAAAUCAAUUUUUUAAUUAAAUUUUCUAAAUUUAAUUUUAAUAUUUGAUAAGCAUAAAAUUUCAUUGGUUAUACUGUAUGAGUCAACAUUUAACUUUAUGCUCAAGAUACGUAUUUAAAGUUCAUUCUUAAGUAAAAUAGUAUCAAAAAUAUAAUAUAAAUACUCAAAUACACUAUAUAUAUCCUAAUAAAACUACUUAUCAUCACCCUAUUAAAAUAUAUAUGAACUCAAUUGAGAUGUUAAUAUAUUCAAAAAUAUCUGUAAAAGAAUAAUCUCGGACCAACAAUUUUUCUUAAAUUAUCGAGGAUUAGUAUACACUAUGUUUUGUUGGAUUCACACAACUAAUUUUAAAUGAUAAAUAUAAUAAUUUAUCAAAUUAUUAAUUUUUAAUAUUUCGAUGUUUUACAAAAUAUCUGAUAAUAAAUAAAUGAUAUCAACAAUUUUUAUUUGGAAAUUAUUCUUUUAAUAUAUUAAAGGAUAUAUCCAUCAAACCAUAGAAAAUAAGGAAACACCCAAUAUUAUUUAAAAAUAAAAAAAUAAAAUAAAAUAUAUUUAAUCUUUACUAGUCAUGUAUAUUAAUUUAUGAUUCGUGAGAUUAUUGAGAAUAUCUCACGAUACUAAUAAUCUUAAGACAUAUAGAAUAAUCCGGAACAUACUAGAACUUUAAUUUCAAUUCAAAAUUAUGAGAACAUUCCGGAACUUGCAAGAACUUUGUUUGUAUAUUAAUCCAACGGCUGAGAUGAGAAUAUGAAAAUUAUAUAUGCAAGCUUUCUUCUUCAAAUUGUUCGUUGUCCCAACCACAAAUAAUUGAAUACCAUAAUAAACCCAAUUCUCAUCUGAGAACCCAUCCACAAACUCUCAUUAGCAAUAUCAUAUACGAUUUUCAAUGAUUCAAACUUUUUCUAUUUGUAAAUUUUACUUUCACCAAAUCCUAGCACUAAUUCUUAUCAUUUAGGUGUGGAUCAGGUAUGCAUUUGUGAAUUUAUUUAUGUUUUAUCUUUCAAUUAAAGAUUAAAAAUUAUAGUAACAAUCAAGCCCACAAGUAUAUGUUAUAGUUUUCAUUUUAAUUUUUUAAUUAUUUUUUGGUUGUAAGAACUUGUUGGUAAAAUUAUAAACUAGAUUUUAUAUUUUCUUAUGUUUAACUAAUGUGAUCUUUUUGUAAGGCAGGUGUUUGUUCCCUCACUCCUUAAACAAUGAAGAUUAUGCUCCAAGUAUGGUGAUGCCCUUAUUUUUAAUCCUUUUAUAAAUUUUAUCGGUCUUCUUAGUAUCAUGACUUGUCUGCAGUGUUUAUGUUUACUUUUAACUUGUGCAUAAGUUAAAUUCUUUCAUUUUUUAUUAUUGGGAUGGUAGGUUAUGGCCUUUGAAGUUUAUAAGUGCAAUUCAAUGGAGUUUGAUGAGCCAAUUAAAUUCUGAAAACACCCAUCAACCUCAACUAUAAAUGAGGCCUCCCUACAUCUCUUAAGGGAUAUAGGAGGGAAUUCUCUCAUAUUUGGGAAGAGCAGUGGACUCCGAAAGAAAGGUUCAUACAAGCUGACGAAAAUAAUUGCAAGCUUCUUUGUCUAAUAUGUGAUCAAUAAUUUCAACCUUAGUAGAAAUUUUUAUAAAGACACGUUGUAAGAGUUUCAAACAUUAUAAAUAUGUAUUUUACUUGAUGUAAGAGUUUCAAGUUUAUAUACGCAUUUUACCCACAUAAUUCUACUCGUGAUGAGAGAAAACUUACAUAUAUUUAUGUUCAUGGCUUCUAUGCUGUCAAAGUGAAUGGAGAGGGCAUUUUUCAAGAAAAAUCAAAACAGGUUAACAAGUAAAACUCUAAAUAAAAUAUAUAGAGGAAAAUAUAAGGUCAAUGAAUUCAAGGUAAAAUGAAUGAGGAUUAUUACAUUUGUAUGUCUCUCCUAUACUUAAAUUAUAGUGCAAAAAUAUUUGUAAAUAUAAUUAUAAUAAAUUUAUAUUGUCUAUUUUAAUUUAUUCCCAAAAUCACACUUUAUCCUUCUAAUUAUAAUUCAUCAUUAUUAGAAUGUCAAUAAUAUUUUUAGAAUCACAUAAAGAAUUAUGAAAAAUUCAAGUAAAAUUCUUACAAAUUAUAAAACGUAGACAGAAGCCGAUUUUCUUUUUAUCUUUCAUUCAAAGUUCAAGCUUUAAAAUCAAAUUAGAUUUGUAGUAAAUAUUAAAAAUAUAUCUAAAAGAGGGUGCAUCCAAAUGACUCCUUCAAAUGUAUCCAAUUCAUAUUUUGGAUGUCUUUUUAACAUUACUUGUACCAACUAUAUUGUUUAUCUAAUCAAAACAAGUUAUUUUUGACCAGAUGGCUAAAAUCCACCUUAUGACUGACGGCCGAUUUCAACUAAAUUUGACCAAAUGCAGUCAAAUUUAACUAAAUUUGAUCGGAAAUGGCGGUAAAAUUUACCAGUUUAAUUUUUUUUAUUUUAAAUAAUAUAAAACAUCAAAUGAUAAUAUUUUAAUUAACAUAUCCAUUUUUAAAUUUAUAAUGAACAUAACUUUGGAGACUUUGGCCUAAAUGAGCCAAGAACCGCCUAACAAAGUAACAUGCUCAUCAACAAUUUCAACAGUCUAUUGAUGAAUGGAGCAUAGUGAAGAAGGUGCUUUAAAGUAUCAACACAAGAAUUGGUCUCCAUCCGAAAUAGACAAUUUAUCAAAGAAAAAGGUGCACCAAAUAAAUUUAAGGAAGAUAACAAGAAAUCAAUAUACCUUCCAUGCUCUAUCUGAAAAAGAGCAAAUCAUCUUAAAAAGGAUGUACCUUCCAUGCUCUAUCUGAAAAAGAGCAAAUCAUCUUAAAAAGGAUUGCUUGCACAAAAGAAAGCAUUAGUGCAAAGUUUGUAAAAAAGUUUGGACCUAGUGAACAAAUUUGCAGAUUUAGAAAAAGCCACGAGGAGUGAUUGAAGAAAAUGAUUAACAUUUUUAUGCCUAUCAUGCAACUAGAACAAAAUAGAAAAAUGGUUGGUGCACAUAAUUGUAUACAAAAUUGGGUACAUAAUGACAUGUGCCGGGCUUUAAUUGGAAUGUACACAAUUAUGUGCACCUAGCACUACUCAACAAAAUAUGAUGAUACAUGGCUCAUUAAUAAUAGAUGAACAACACACACGACAAAAAUUUAAAGUCUAUUUUAUAAUGUGGAUUCUACAAUAAAUAUAUCAAUCAAUUAAUAUACCAACUUCGAAUAUAAAGAAAGAGUAUCAUUGUUAUUUAAUUUAAGAAAGGUACGUGUUAUGGAUAAAAACAAAGGACAAGCUUAGUGCUUUAAUGACUGCUUAAUGUGAAGGGUCAAAGGAGAUGAAAAAGAACAGAAGACCUCAUGUUCUAGUUCAGGAGUACGAAUAUUUGAAAUUGCAAAACCAAAACAGAUAUUAACUGAUAUUUGUGAAAAGUCUUGGAACCUAGUGAGUUAGUGCACUUCAACAAAAUUAAUGGUGUUUGAAAACUACAAUCAUAACUCAUAUUCAAGUGUCUCUUGAUGAAGUAUAUACCAUAAUGAUGACUAAUGAUUUGGAGAUGAAAAAAAAAGAGAAAAAGGGUUAGAUAAGAUUUUGUAUGUUUCUUUGAAUGCCAAACAAAGUAAGCAAUUAGAAAAUAUAACUAUAAUUAUAUGCAAGGGAAAGUUGUUCAAACUCUCACUCAUGUUUUAUAAUUUAGUGAGCCCUUAGCUAGAGAGUAGGAGUAGAGGUGGAUCAUAUUAUCAUAACUAAUAUAAAGUAUUAUAUUGAAUUUAUAUUUAGGAUAUAAUUAUGAGCUAGAUAAUUAUAAUUAUGUUUAAUUUUUUUUAAACUUUUUAAAUUUGUAUAAAAUGAUUAUAUAUUUAGAAACAUAUGUGUUAUCAUUUUAACUAAAAUAUAUAUACAAUGAUAUUUAAUUUAAAAUUAAUAUAUAUGGGCUCUCAAAGUAGAUCUUUUACUUUUAAGCAACUGAUCAUAAUAAAAUUGGUUUUUAAUUUAUCCAUGAUUAGGCCUAGCCCAAUCCUAAAAACCCUACAAAUUUUACUAUAUAUACGUCUUAUCCUAAUUAUUCAAUUUGCCCCCUACUUCAUCAUUUCAAUUUUUGCCGCCUAUCUCAUCAUUUUAAUAUCUGCCUCCUACCUCAUCAUUUUAAAACCCCCAAAAGAUACUCACACAUUGUGAGAAAAGCAUCUGACAAUUAACGAGUGUUAAUUCUAGUGGCACCUUUAGACUGAGAGCUACUUCAUCGUUCAUUGUGAGAAAGACAGUUGUCAGUCUUCAGUACAGUGAUGUCUCUCAUUGGACUUCCUAAUUUGUUUGGGGUGAAAUCUCACCUGGAAAAUCCUAUGGUGAGUGCCAUUCCUGUCCCUGCUGCAGUUAAAGUAUCUAGCCAUGCUGACAUCGAUUAUGUCCCGUUCAGGAGACCAGAGUCUUACAUCACGUGCAAAGAUGAUGAGCUGACUAGAGUGUUGGGGAGGGAAAGUUCAGUUUAUGAAAUGGAUUGUGAGGAUGAGGAAUGGUUAAACAAAUUUUAAGACAGAAAAAGGAUGUGAGGAGCCCAUUUCUGCUGAUAUUUUUGAGAUGAUUAUUAGUUCAUUCGAGAAGAGAUUAUUCUGUGAUCAAGGUAAUCGUGUGGAUGUAAAGGCUGCCGUUGACCAUUGCAUAUCUCUGGGAAGAAGAGAUGUUCUACGAACCAUCUAUAGUUACUGGAUUAAGAAACGAAAACAGAAGCGUUCGGCCCUGGUCAAGGUUUUCCUGCAGGUACUAUAUCUUUUUGUGACCCAUAAAUAUGUGUUAUUCAUCAGGUUUUACAGUAUUUGACAUGCACUAAUUAUUCAUGAUUAUGAUUGAUCAUUUCUGAUAGUUGUAUCAAUCAAGAACUCGAGUUUUAAGAAAGGCGGAUCAUGGCAAGAAAAGAUCAUUGACUCGAGAAGCUAGAGAAAAUGUAAUUAGGGAGAAGCGAGCAACUGUCCUUCAAGGUAUAUACUGUUGCACCAAGAAUGUCAUCCUUAUCUUGUUUAAUACAUCAUUUCAGUCAUUCUUAUUCAAGAGUACCAGGAAGAUGAAUAUGUACUAUUAUAUAAGUAUACAUUCCUCUAAGUAGCCACUUAAGUUUUUAAAUAAAUUCCUGGCUUGAACUACAUGCAUUGCAGCUGAAGAGAAGAAAAAAGAAUUGAAGGUUGCCUUAGAGGCUGGUGCUGCACUUACUAGAUUAGAGGAUGUAGCCCUUGGAAAGCGUAAAAGAGUCCAAAUGCUGAUGGAGGUUGCAGAUAAGUGUACUUACAAAGCCACUAUGGCUCUUAGAAUUUCUAAAGCAAUUGCACAAGGAAAAUCAAUUGUAGAUGUUGCCAAUCAAAUUAGAUUAGUAGUAAAUACUUAAAAUAUAUCUUAAAGAAGGUGUAUCCAAAUGAAUCCUUCAAAUGUAUCCAAUUCUUAUUUAUGGAUGUCUUUUUCUCACAUUACUUGUACCAACUAUAUUGUUUAUCUAAUCAAAACAAGUUAUUAUUGACCGAAGAUGGCUAAAAUCCACUAAGCUAUGAUUGAUCGCCGAUUCCGGUCAAAAUUAACUAUAUUUGACCAAACGUGGACUACAAAAAUGUAGGGCAAAACCGACCGCCUAAAACCAACUGGCGCGAAAAACGUGUCGGGUUAAAACAGAUCGGCCGAAGUCCGUCGGUUUUGAUAAUAACUACGUCGUUUUGCUUUGCUGGCUAGACUCCGACUUAUUUUAACCGACCACUUUCAUCGCGGUCGGUUUUAUAGCUGACGUGUCUGGGUCAUAACUGACCAGGCCAUCGGUCGGUUAUGUUUUUGUGUAAAUUUAAUCAAAUUUUUAAAAAAUUAUUAGACAAGACGACAGCGUUUUUGUGCGUAAAUUUGACCGGAAAUUGCGGUCAAAUUUACCCAUUUUUCUAGUAGUGUCAAUUUAAUUGUUUUUUAUUUUAAAUAAUAUGAAACAUCAAAUAAUAAUAUUUUAAUUAACAUAUCCACUUUUAAAUUUAUAAUGAACAUAACUUUAGAGACUUUGGCGUAAAUGAGCUAAGAACCCCCUAACAAAGUAACAUGCUCAACAAUUUCAACAGUCUAUCAAUGAAUGGAGCAUAGUGAAGAAGGUGCUUUAAAGUAUCAACACAAAAAUUGGUCUCCAUCCGAAAUAGACAAUUUAUCAAAUAAAAAGGUGCAUCAGAUGAUUUUAAGGAAGAUAACAAGAAAUCAAUAUACCUUCCAUACUCUAUCUGAAAAAGAGCAAAUAAUUAGUGCAAAGUUUGUAAAAAAGUUUGGACCUAGUGAACAAAUUUGUGGAUUUAUUGAAGAAAAUGAUUAACAUUUUUAUGUCUAUCAUGCCGCUAGAACAAAAUAUGAUGAUACAUGGCUCAAUAAUAAUGGGUGAACAACACACUUGACAAAAACUUAAAGUCUAUAUUAUAAUGUGGAUUUUACAAUAAAUAUAUCAAUCAAUUAAUAUACCAACGCAUAGUGAUGACAGAACCUUGUCGAAUAUAAAGAAAGAUUAUCAUUGAUAUUUCACAACUUUCCCUUACAUAUAAUUAUAAUUAUAUGUAAAGGAAAGUUGUUAAAACUCUCAAGGAGGGCCUGUUUUAUAAUUUAGUGAGCCCUUAAAGAGUAGGAGUAGACGUGGAUCAUAUGACAUAAAAAAUUUAAAAGCUAAAUAAAUAUUAUCAUAAUUAACUAAUAUAAAGUAUUAUGUAGUAUUGAAUUUAUAUUUAGGAUAUAAUUAUGAGCUAGCUAAUUAUAAUCAUGUUUAAUUUUAUUUAAAACUUUUUAAAUUUGUAUAAAAUGAUCAUAUAUUUAGACACAUAUGUGUUAUCAUUUUAACUAAAAUAUAUAUACUAUGAUAUUUAAUUUAAAAUUAAUAUAUUUGGGCUCCCAAAUUAGAUCUUUUACGGUUAAGCAACUGAUCAUAAUAAAAUUGGUUUUUUAAUAUAUCCAUGAUUAGGCCCAGCCCAAUUCUAAAAACCCUACAAAUUUUACUAUAUAUACUACUUAUCCUAAUUAUUCAAUUUGCCCCCUACCUCAUCAUUUCAGUUUUUGCCGCCUAUCUCAUCUUUUUAAUAUCUGCCGCCUACCUCAUCAUAUUAAAACCCCCAAAAGAUACUCACACAUUGUGAGAAAAUCAGCUAACAAUUAACGAGUGUUAAUUCUAGUGGUACCAUUAGACUGAGAGGUACUUCAUAGUUCAUUGUGAGAAAGGCAGUUGUCAGUCUUCAUCAGUAUACAGUGAUGUCUCUCAUUGGACUAUGGUGAGUGCCAUUCCAGUCCCGGCUGCAGUUAAAGUAUCUAGCCAUGCUGACAUCGAUUAUGUCCCGUUCAGGAGACCAGAGUCUUACAUCACGUGCAAAGAUGAUGACCUAACUAGAGUGUUGGGGAGGGGAGGUGCAAUUUAUGAAAUGGAUUGUGAGGAUGAGGAAUGGUUGAACAAAUUUAAUACAGAAAAAGGAAGUGAGGAGCCCAUUUCUGCUGAUUUUUUUGAGAUGAUUAUUAGUUCAUUUGAGAAGAGAUUAUUCUGUGAUCAAGGUAAUCGUCUGGAUGUAAAGACUGCUGUUGACCAUUGUAUAUCUCUGGGAAGAAGAGAUGUUCUACGCAUAGUUACCCGGUUCGCGGGUCGACCUAGGGAACCGUGAACUGGUACGGUCGUUCCGGAACGCGGGUCGAAGUCGACCCGGAACACUCGGGAUGGCGUUCCAGUUCGCCAUUUCCGGCGAACUCUGAUCACUUACCGGCGACUAUAAAACGAGGAUGAAAUUAAGAAGAAAGAGGCGAGUAGUGGUGUUUUAUCUGACCUGUGAUAUGUAUGUAUGUGGAUAUAUGUAUACAUGACUGUUUGCAGCUCAAGGUGAUGUGUGGUUUGUGGAGAAGAUGAAGCGGGGGAGAAAACGAAGUGGGGGAGAAGACAACACAGAUACCAAUGUGAUAACUCAUGAAAGUUAUGGUAGAUCGUGCUGGAUAAUAAUAAUAUAUGUAUAAGUUUUGUGUGUGUCUAUUUAAUGUGUAACCCCUGCAUUCAUUUCUAGACCCACCUAAUGCAUUUGCUGCUUGGACAAGAGCCCACUAUGGAAAGUUUCAGCACUCUCUCCGUUAUUUUUUGACGCUUUGUUUUUUUUUUAAUUUUAUAAAUAAAAAUAUGUGCUGAAAAUUUAAUUUAUAAAAAAAUGAUAAAUAAAUAUAAUAAUUUUUACCAUCCAAUCAACCCGUUUAAAGACGAAAAGGGAUAAAAAAUUAUUUUAUUAUGCACCUCGUUUCACAUAAGAAACAAUUCUUAUUAUUUUUUUAUUUAUUACUCUAGACUACGCCUUUUAAUAUGAAUUUUGCCAAAAUAAGAUUUUUAUAUUUUUUUAAUAUAAAAAUUACGGGAUCCUUAAUUCGACCCGCGAACCCGAUUCACGGCUCCUCGUACCCGAUUCAUCCAUACUCACGUCCCGCGUACCCGAAUUCAUACCGCGUACCGAAUCGAUCCACGAUCCAUGUAACUAUG
rnacentral:lncRNA from 1 species